rnacentral:rRNA from 1 species
UCGCCUUCGGGUGGACAGUGGAGUGGCGCACGGGUGAGUAACACGUAGGUAAUCUACCUUUGGAUUGGGAAUAACCACCGGAAACGGUGGCUAAUACCGAAUAAUGCAGCGGCACCUAAUGGUGACAGUUGUUAAAGCGGGGGAUCGCAAGACCUCGCGUCUGAAGAGGAGCCUGCGGCAGAUUAGCUAGUUGGUAAGGUAACGGCUUACCAAGGCGAUGAUCUGUAGCCGGCCUGAGAGGGCGGUCGGCCACACUGACACUGACAUACGGGUCAGACUCCUACGGGAGGCAGCAGUCGGGAAUUUUGGGCAAUGGGCGAAAGCCUGACCCAGCAACGCCGCGUGAAGGAUGAAAUCCUUCGGGAUGUAAACUUCGCAAGAACGGGAAGAAUAAGUAAGGGUUAAUAUCUCUUACGAUGACGGUACUGUUUGUAAGCUCCGGCUAACUCCGUGCCAGCAGCCGCGGUAAUACGGGGGGAGCAAGCGUUGUUCGGAUUUACUGGGCGUAAAGGGCGCGUAGGCGGCACGACAAGUCGCUUGUGAAAUCUCCGGGCUUAACUCGGAGCGGCCAAGCGAUACUGUCGCGCUAGAGUGCGGAAGGGGCAACUGGAAUUCUCGGUGUAGCGGUGAAAUGCGUAGAUAUCGAGAGGAACACCUGCGGCGAAGGCGGGUUGCUGGGCCGACACUGACGCUGAUGCGCGAAAGCCAGGGGAGCGAACGGGGAUAG